rnacentral:rRNA from 1 species
UACGUAGGGGGCGAGCGUUGUCCGGAUUUAUUGGGCGUAAAGAGCGUGUAGGCGGCUAGGUAGGUCCGUUGUGAAAACUCGAGGCUCAACCUCGAGACGCCGAUGGAAACCAUCUGGCUAGAGUCCGGAAGAGGAGAGUGGAAUUCCUGGUGUAGCGGUGAAAUGCGCAGAUAUCAGGAAGAACACCAACGGCGAAGGCAGCUCGCUGGGACGGUACUGACGCUAAGGCGCGAAAGCGUGGGGAGCGAACAGG